CUGAAAACAAAAACGUGAAACAUCUUCUCAUCUUGAUUUUAGUGGAUUUCAAAAACUAACUCUUGAAUUUCUGGAUUAGUUUAGAUUUAGUCAAGUAGAAGUAUUUGAGGUUAACAAUGCACCUGGUCUUAUAUUCAUUCAUCUUUAACUCAUAAAAAAAUAGGGAAAUUUAAAAUGGUCUUAUGUACCUCAUGAUCUUUUGAUUACUGAUCCAUCUGAACCGUUGCUCCAACUUAUACAGUUUGUUUAUCCAGAUAUGGUUUCUCAUCUUACAGAUCCAACCUUUUAUCAAGAAAGAGCUAUAUUAGCCCCCACAUUAGAAUCAGUUGAAAAAGUCAAUCAAUAUAUUUUAUCUUGCAUUGAAGGGGAAGAAAAAGAAUAUCUGAGUUGUGAUUCUACUUGCAAGUCUGAUGAGGACAAUGAUGUUGAAGCUGCAUGGUUAACCCCCGGAGUUUCUACAUGAAGUAAAAUGUUCUGGAAUUCCAAAUCACAAAUUGGUGUUGAAGGAAAGGGUGUCUGUCAUGCUUCUAAGAAACUUAGACCAAUCAUUUGGAUUACGUAAUGGAACUAGACUUUUAAUAGAGGAUUUGUGCCCAAAUGUGAUCGGUGCGACUGUUGUGACUGGAACAAAUUCCGGAAAAAAAGUUUACAUUGGUAGAAUGAGUUUGAUUCCACAAGACUAGAGUCUUCCAUUCAAAUUUGAAAGGCGACAGUUUCCAUCGGCUGUUUGUUACGCAAUGACCAUCAACAAGAGUCAAGGGCAGUCUUUGAGUCAUGUAGGAUUAUACCUUCCUAGACCAGUAUUCACUGAUGGUCAGUUCUACGUAGCAGUAUCAAGAGUCAAAAGUGGAAAAGGGUUAAGAAUCUUAAUACUGGAUGAUGAAGGAGAAAUUACCACUUCAACAACAAAUGUUCUCUACUGGGUGGUCUUUGAAAAUAUUUGAGGUUGCAAGAGAUAUUGUGUGGCAAAAUACCCAUGGAGUCUUUCAGCCCGACAAAUAACUGUGUUGGUGGAGACUUAUGAAAAAGAAAAAAUGUCACUUCAUCCAAAAAAAUCAAAGACAUUUUUACAUUGCUAUUAUUUAUUUUAUAAUGAAUUUUCCAGUUUAAGUGGUUUUCACAUUUUAAGGAUCUUUCCGAAUCUAUUUGUUAUGUAAUUUGGU